rnacentral:rRNA from 1 species
UACGUAGGGCGCAAGCGUUGUCCGGAAUUACUGGGCGUAAAGCGCACGUAGGCGGAUAUUUAAGUCAGGGGUGAAAUCCCAGAGCUCAACUCUGGAACUGCCUUUGAUACUGGGUAUCUCGAGUAUGGAAGAGGUGAGUGGAAUUCCGAGUGUAGAGGUGAAAUUCGUAGAUAUUCGGAGGAACACCAGUGGCGAAGGCGGCUCACUGGUCCAUUACUGACGCUGAGGUGCGAAAGCGUGGGGAGCAAACAGG